rnacentral:rRNA from 1 species
AAGCCCUAACCAUUGCAAAGUCGAACGAUGAAGCCCUGCUUGCAGGGUGGAUUAGUGGCGAACGGGUGAGUAACACGUGAGUAACCUGCCCCUGACUCUGGGAUAAGCCCGGGAAACUGGGUCUAAUACCGGAUAUGACUUCCUACUGCAUGGUGGGUUGUUGAAAGAUUUAUCGGUGGGGGAUGGACUCGCGGCCUAUCAGCUUGUUGGUGAGGUAAGGGCUCACCAAGGCGACGACGGGUAGCCGGCCUGAGAGGGUGACCGGCCACACUGGGACUGAGACACGGCCCAGACUCCUACGGGAGGCAGCAGUGGGGAAUAUUGCACAAUGGGCGGAAGCCUGAUGCAGCGACGCCGCGUGAGGGAUGACGGCCUUCGGGUUGUAAACCUCUUUCAGUAGGGAAGAAGCGAAAGUGACGGUACCUGCAGAAGAAGCGCCGGCUAACUACGUGCCAGCAGCCGCGGUAAUACGUAGGGCGCAAGCGUUAUCCGGAUUUAUUGGGCGUAAAGAGCUCGUAGGCGGUUUGUCGCGUCUGCCGUGAAAGUCCGAGGCUCAACCUCGGAUCUGCGGUGGGUACGGGCAGACUAGAGUGAUGUAGGGGAGACUGGAAUUCCUGGUGUAGCGGUGAAAUGCGCAGAUAUCAGGAGGAACACCGAUGGCGAAGGCAGGUCUCUGGGCAUUUACUGACGCUGAGGAGCGAAAGCAUGGGGAGCGAACAGGAUUAGAUACCCUGGUAGUCCAUGCCGUAAACGUUGGGCACUAGGUGUGGGGGACAUUCCACGUUUUCCGCGCCGUAGCUAACGCAUUAAGUGCCCCGCCUGGGGAGUACGGCCGCAAGGCUAAAACUCAAAGGAAUUGACGGGGGCCCGCACAAGCGGCGGAGCAUGCGGAUUAAUUCGAUGCAACGCGAAGAACCUUACCAAGGCUUGACAUGUGCCAUACCGCUCCAGAGAUGGGGUUUCCCUUCGGGGCU